UACGUAGGUGGCAAGCGUUGUCCGGAAUUAUUGGGCGUAAAGCGCGCGCAGGCGGUCCUUUAAGUCUGAUGUGAAAGCCCACGGCUCAACCGUGGAGGGUCAUUGGAAACUGGGGGGAUUGAGUACAGAAGAGGAAAGCGGAAUUCCACGUGUAGCGGUGAAAUGCGUAGAGAUGUGGAGGAACACCAGUGGCGAAGGCGCUUUCUGGUCUGUAACUGACGCUGAGGCGCGAAAGCGUGGGGAGCAAACAGG
rnacentral:rRNA from 1 species